rnacentral:rRNA from 1 species
UACGUAGGGUCCGAGCGUUGUCCGGAAUUAUUGGGCGUAAAGAGCUCGUAGGCGGUCUGUCGCGUCGGCUGUGAAAACACGGGGCUCAACUCCGUGCCUGCAGUCGAUACGGGCAGACUAGAGUUCGGUAGGGGAGACUGGAAUUCCUGGUGUAGCGGUGAAAAUGCGCAGAUAUCAGGAGGAACACCGGUGGCGAAGGCGGGUCUCUGGGCCGAUACUGACGCUGAGGAGCGAAAGCGUGGGGAGCGAACAGG